GAAGGGUUUGUCACGAAAGAUUGCAGAGUGUGGCUAUAGAUAAUUUAAAUCAGUGUGUGGAAAAUCUAUCAAUUUGAGCGAGCUGUUGAUAAAUCUCCAAUCAAAAACCAAUACUUUGUGAUUUGCUCCUUGGAAAAUACCAGCAAAAAAAAAGGACAUUCGACGCUUCAUGUAAACAACAACAAACGAAUUAGAGGCCCAAAACCGUAUCCUGAGAAGAGUCAAAUUAGUAACUAAAAAGGGAAAAGUUAGGAUCUUCUAAGCAACAUCAACAAGUCAUCAAUAUCGUCUAACGGACCACGGCCACGAUCUAUCAUCAAGGCAAAGGUCUGGAUCUCGCAACGUGUGACCAGCAGACAGACUGUUUAAGAAAUUAUAAAAAGGUAAUUAUUUUUAAGGCAUCGUUAACAUCAUGGUUUCCUUUGUUUGAGUUGCAUUCAGAAAGCAAAAAUCAUUUAAAAAAAAAACCUUCCUCAAAGUGAGGAAAAAGUGAGUCCACCCUUAGGUGGUAAUUGCCUUCCUCACAUUUGCUCUGGAAAAAAUCUUUUUUAAUUUAUUUAUUUUUAUAUAACCAAAGCUUAUAUAGAGUUAGAACUCUAAAGUAACUCUAAAGAAUUGUACCCGAAAGUAACAUUUGAGAUGGGCGUAAGUAAUUUAAAUAUUUGUGAAUUCUGUAAUUUAAAUAUGGCUGUAUCUCGAAGCCGUUGCAUCCUCUCAAAUUAGUCAUGGAUAAACUUGUAGGAAAUUGAACGGGCUUUCUGAAAAAAAUACACUGAAAGAAAAAU